rnacentral:rRNA from 1 species
AUACGGAGGAUCCGAGCGUUAUCCGGAUUUAUUGGGUUUAAAGGGUGCGCAGGCGGGAGAUUAAGUCGGCGGUGAAAUUUUGCAGCUCAACUGUAAAAGUGCCUUCGAAACUGGUUUCCUUGAGUGUAGAUGAAGUAGGCGGAAUUUGUGGUGUAGCGGUGAAAUGCAUAGAUAUCCCGAGGAAAUCCGAUUGCGCAGGCAGCGUACUAAACUACUACUGACGCUCAGGCACGAAGGCGUGGGGAUCAAACAGGAUUAGAUACCCUGGUAGUCCACGCAGUAAACGAUGAUUACUAGCUGUUUGCGAUACAAUGUAAGCGGCUGAGCGAAAGCGUUAAGUAAUCCACCUGGGGAGUACGUUCGCAAGAAUGAAACUCAAAUGAAUUGACGGGG